AUUGAACGCUGGCGGCAUGCCUUACACAUGCAAGUCGAACGGUAGCGGGCCUUCGGGUGCCGACGAGUGGCGAACGGGUGAGUAAUGUAUCGGAACGUACCUUUCAGUGGGGGAUAACGUAUCGAAAGUUGCGCUAAUACCGCAUAUUCUGUGAGCAGGAAAGCAGGGGAUCGCAAGACCUUGCGCUGAUUGAGCGGCCGAUAUCAGAUUAGCUAGUUGGUUAGGUAAAGGCUCACCAAGGCGACGAUCUGUAGCGGGUCUGAGAGGAUGAUCCGCCACACUGGAACUGAGACACGGUCCAGACUCCUACGGGAGGCAGCAGUGGGGAAUUUUGGACAAUGGGGGCAACCCUGAUCCAGCCAUGCCGCGUGAGUGAAGAAGGCCUUCGGGUUGUAAAGCUCUUUCGGCCGGGAAGAAAUCGUAUCAGCUAAUACCUGGUGCGGAUGACGGUACCGGCAUAAGAAGCACCGGCUAACUACGUGCCAGCCGCCGCCGUAAAAC
rnacentral:rRNA from 1 species